rnacentral:lncRNA from 1 species
GAGCAGGUGGCCAUACGUAGGUUUUGAGAUGGACUAUACAGCCUACAACAGUCCACCAUCAAGCAUUCCAAUUUUCAAUCACCAUUGGAUUGAAAGUCCUACAGGGAUCACUUGAUGUAGGUGGACAUAUGGAAGGUCCUUUGUGAUCAGUGAAGCAGUGAAGAGUAUGCUGGUAGAUGACAGAGGGCCCGACAGCAUCAGA